UACGGGGGGAGCAAGCGUUGUUCGGAUUUACUGGGCGUAAAGAGCGCGCAGGCGGUCGUUCAAGUCGCGUGUGAAAGCCCCCGGCUCAACUGGGGAGGGUCACGCGAUACUGAUCGACUCGAAGGCAGGAGAGGGAAGUGGAAUUCCCGGUGUAGUGGUGAAAUGCGUAGAUAUCGGGAGGAACACCAGUGGCGAAGGCGACUUCCUGGCCUGUUCUUGACGCUGAGGCGCGAAAGCUAGGGGAGCAAACGGG
rnacentral:rRNA from 1 species